UCUUCAUCGGAUUCCAAAGAUGGGUAAACUAAACCAGGAACAAAAAAUAGCUUUUACUGCAGCAGUAUUAAACAAGAGUUUGAGAUAAAAUAUUGGCCCAAUCUAAAAGCCUCAGGCUCCUGGAGAUGAGUUCCUAGGCCUUGAGCCAGCAAGAUAGUUAAGCAUAUUAACAGGAUUUCCAUCUCUGCAGAACAUGUACAUUUCAGGACAAGAAGAAGUGGACUGUGUCAGGGUGGACUGAAGAGAUGGGACCCCUCCUGAUGUCAAUGGGCCGGAGACCAGAGCCUUUAUCUGCACAAGCAGGCUCAAUGGGGCCGAAAUCUGAUGAACAGGGCUGCUCUGCAGGGGAACCAAAGCAGGGAGGCCCCACACAGCUUCACCCAAAAGACAGGGUAGAGAACAUCCCAGAAGAGUAUCUUAAUUGAGGAUAAUAGUUUGCAUCUCUCUAAGUGUUUGUCCUUGUGGGCACCACCAGAACCUGGGCACAGCCUUCUCUCUCUCAGAAGAGGAGUGCCCUGCCCCCUGAAGUUCCCAACAGUUGAGAGGACUUCCACAGGCAGAUGGGAUCAUUUGUAGUAGCCUCUUCAGAGACAUUUGUAACUUCAAUACAAGUGUCUAUAUUGCCAGAAGGCACCAUUCAUUCAUAAUCUCUCCUCUUGACAAGUUUGCAGCGUGGUAAAUAUCUUUAACUCCUACACUAAAAGAAGGUAGGUGUCAGGCCAGGUGUUUAGCUGGUGUAAAUGAGAGUAGCACCAUUGACUUCAAUGGAGCUGCUCUGAUUUCCGCCAACCAAGAAAAGAUGUCAAAUAGUGUUCACAUCGAUGUAUUUCUGACACUAUCCUCGGGGGCUACACCAAGAAAAAAAAUGCAUAAAAUUCAAAACCAAAAGGAAUUAGACUGAGUAAAAGAAGAAAACAGUGAUUACUGGGAUCACUCAUAACGGGGCUCCCCUUUACAAAAGGUGUCCCUUAGAAACUAAGGGUCAGAGGACUGGUGAUGGAAUAUGAUGCCUUUUUCCUCUAUAUACAGUUCAACUAUAUACCUGGUCAGUAGUUUAUGAAAGUUAUCUCCAUUUGACAUUUGUUGGAUGGCCUAUGAGCAAUGACUGGUGGUCUUAGCUCUGCUCAGCAGACUUCAUCGCAACACCAUCAGCAGAACUGACGCACAGUUGGCAGACUCAUCAGAAAAGCCAAGGGCUGAAUGGGCAUGAAGACUGAACUAGCCUUGUACCUCUGCAAGUGGUUCCACUCAAUCAGGGCUGAGCUAUACUGGAUGAGCAGACCAUACCAUUUGAGGAAACUUGCAGUGCUAAUGCUUCUAUUGCUGCUGUUUUGUGAUUAGACAGAGGAAUUCUACCUCCUCACUAAAGCUCCUAUCCUCUCACUGAACACUGGGGUAAAUCAAGAGUAACUUCACAUAGGUCAUUUGAGCUACAACUAGUGUAUCUGAGAGGAGAUUCAGGCCUGCAAGAUCUCAAAUCUUUUGAAGUCGUCUCUAGCUCUAAGGCGUACAGCUUGUUGCCAAUUCAUCCUGGUUUUCAAGAAGUAGGGACAACUUCCCCUUUUCUGCACAUACACCGCUACCUUGAUAUAACGCCACCUGAUAUAACAUGAAUUUGGAUAUA